UACAGAGGGGGCAAGCGUUGUUCGGAAUUACUGGGCGUAAAGGGCGCGUAGGCGGCCUUCUAAGUCAGACGUGAAAUCCCCCGGCUCAACCGGGGAACUGCGUCUGAGACUGGAAGGCUUGAAUCCGGGAGAGGGAUGUGGAAUUCCAGGUGUAGCGGUGAAAUGCGUAGAUAUCUGGAGGAACACCGGUGGCGAAGGCGGCAUCCUGGACCGGUACUGACGCUGAGACGCGAAAGCGUGGGGAGCGAACAGG
rnacentral:rRNA from 1 species